AAGUCGAGCGCGAAAGGGACCUCGGGUCCCUGAGAGCGGCGAACGGGUGAGUAACACGUGGGCAACCUGGCCUCAAGGACUGGGGAUAACGUCGGGAAACCGGCGCUAAUACCGGGCGAUGUAGUGUCGCGCAAGCGAGCCUACCAAAUGGUAGCUUCGGCCUCCGCCUUGAGAUGGGCCCGCGUCCUAUCAGCUUGUUGGUGAGGUAAUGGCUCACCAAGGCUACGACGGGUAGCUGGUCUGAGAGGAUGAUCAGCCACACUGGGACUGAGAUACGGCCCAGACUCCUACGGGAGGCAGCAGUGGGGAAUCUUGCGCAAUGGGCGAAAGCCUGACGCAGCAACGCCGCGUGAGCGAAGAAGGUUUUCGGGAAUCGUAAAACUCUGUUGUCAGAGAAGAACAAGUUGGAGAGUAACUGCUCCAGCCUUGACGGUAUCUGACCAGAAAGCCACGGCUAACUACGUGCCAGCAGCUGC
rnacentral:rRNA from 1 species